GCGGUGCAACACGAGAACUUCCCAGGAGGUCACCCAUCCUAGUACUACUCUCGUCCAAGCACACUUAACUGCGGAGUUCUGAUGGGAUCCGGUGCAUUAGUGCUGGUAUGAUCGCACCC
rnacentral:rRNA from 1 species